UACGUAGGUGGCAAGCGUUGUCCGGAAUUAUUGGGCGUAAAGAGCUCGUAGGCGGUCUGUUGCGUCGGCUGUGAAAACCCGGGGCUCAACUCCGGGCCUGCAGCCGAUACGGGCAGACUAGAGUUCGGCAGGGGAGACUGGAAUUCCUGGUGUAGCGGUGAAAUGCGCAGAUAUCAGGAGGAACACCGGUGGCGAAGGCGGGUCUCUGGGCCGAUACUGACGCUGAGGAGCGAAAGCGUGGGGGAGCGAACAGG
rnacentral:rRNA from 1 species